AUGCAGUCGAGCGGACAGAAGGGAGCUUGCUCCCGGAUGUUAGCGGCGGACGGGUGAGUAACACGUGGGUAACCUGCCUGUAAGACUGGGAUAACUCCGGGAAACCGGAGCUAAUACCGGAUAGUUCCUUGAACCGCAUGGUUCAAGGAUGAAAGACGGUUUCGGCUGUCACUUACAGAUGGACCCGCGGCGCAUUAGCUAGUUGGUGGGGUAAUGGCUCACCAAGGCGACGAUGCGUAGCCGACCUGAGAGGGUGAUCGGCCACACUGGGACUGAGACACGGCCCAGACUCCUACGGGAGGCAGCAGUAGGGAAUCUUCCGCAAUGGACGAAAGUCUGACGGAGCAACGCCGCGUGAGUGAUGAAGGUUUUCGGAUCGUAAAGCUCUGUUGUUAGGGAAGAACAAGUGCGAGAGUAACUGCUCGCACCUUGACGGUACCUAACCAGAAAGCCACGGCUAACUACGUGCCAGCAGCCGCGGUAAUACGUAGGUGGCAAGCGUUGUCCGGAAUUAUUGGGCGUAAAGGGCUCGCAGGCGGUUUCUUAAGUCUGAUGUGAAAGCCCCCGGCUCAACCGGGGAGGGUCAUUGGAAACUGGGAAACUUGAGUGAAGAAGAGGAGAGUGGAAUUCCCACGUGUAGCGGUGAAAUGCGUAGAGAUGUGGAGGAACACCAGUGGCGAAGGCGACUCUCUGGUCUGUAACUGACGCUGAGGAGCGAAAGCGUGGGGAGCGAACAGGAUUAGAUAC
rnacentral:rRNA from 1 species